AGCGUUGGAACCACCUGAUCCCAUCCCGAACUCAGAAGUGAAACGAUGCAUCGCCGAUGGUAGUGUGGGGUUUCCCCAUGUGAGAGUAGGUCAUCGUCAAGA
rnacentral:rRNA from 2 species